rfam:Gorilla gorilla gorilla genomic chromosome, chr20, whole genome shotgun sequence
AUCACUCAGAGAUCUUGUUAAAUUGCAGGCUCUCAUUCACUAUGUCUGGGCCAGGUCCAAGAUUCUGCAUUUAUAACAAGUUCCCAGGUGAAGCCAA